AAACCGUUCAGGGGUAAACCUAAGAAACCCAAAAGAUCGAACGGGGAGAUUCAUCGUCAGCGACGCUGGCUUCGCGUCGGCGGGCGAUGCCCCGCGGGGCCUCGCGGCUCGCGCGCGGGCACGCUGCCGUGCGUCGAUGUCCGGCGUUCGUCGUCGUGCACUUCUCCCCUAGUAGAACGUCGCGACCCGCUGGGUGUCGGUCUACGGCCCGGGUGCGGUGACUGACGCGUCGCCGGUAAAACGGCACGCGUCAAACCCUCGGUCGCCCGGCCGGCUGCCCGGCGGUACACGCAAGGUAUCAGGCCGCAACAACGUCCCCGUCAUAGGGGCCGAGUGUGUGCGUCGAGGCCGUCGCAAGCGCGCGCCACGGUACACGGAGGCUAACGGACCUGGCGCCGUCACCGGUCCUGGCCCGCUGUUGGUCGUACGGUUAACCUUCGACAGGCCUGCGAACGUUCCCCGGGGGAGCGAUCCCCCGGGGGACCGAUACCGGUCGGCGACGCUACUGCUUUGGGUACUCUUAGGA
rnacentral:rRNA from 1 species